UAGGCCUUAGCUUAAUUAAAGUGUUUGAGUUGCAUUCAUGUGAUGUACAUUAGAGUUGUACAGGUCUUA
rnacentral:tRNA from 1 species